AAACCAAGAAGGUUAAGUUAUACAUUUAUCGGUUAAAAGAUAGUUAGGCAACAAUCUAAGAGCUUAUUUAAUUGUUAUUUAGAGGUAAAAUUCGCAAAUAAUCUAGAAAUCUUGUCAUGGCUGGCAAGCUGAAGCUAUGAUAGCCUUGAGGGAAACUGGGAUUAGAUACCCCAUUAUUCGAGGGGGUAAAAAAAUGAAAGUUUACCAGAGUACUACGGAAAUAUAGACAUUUAAAACUCAAAGAGCUUGGCGGUGUUUUAGACUCUUUAGGGGAACCUGUCUCAUAAUCGACAAUCCACGAAAUACCUAACCUUUAUUUGCUUUCAAUUUGUAUACCGUCGUCGGCAGGUAACUUUUCAGAAUAUAGAAGUUAGCAAAUGAACCAAUAAAAUAAGUUCUCACGUCAGAUCAAGGUGCAGUCAAUAUAAAGGAGAGGAUGGGUUACAAUUAUUAAAAAUAUAAAUACGAAGUAGCAAUUUGAAAUUGAGCUAUGAAGGAGGACUUAAAAGUAAAAUAGAAUAUAUAAAUAUAUUGAAUUAAGCUCUGAAACGUGU
rnacentral:rRNA from 1 species